rnacentral:rRNA from 1 species
AACGAACGCUGGCGGCAUGCCUAACACAUGCAAGUCGAACGAAGGCCUCGGCCUUAGUGGCGCACGGGUGCGUAACGCGUGGGAAUCUGCCCCUCGGUUCGGAAUAACAGUUAGAAAUGACUGCUAAUACCGCAUACGCCCUUCGGGGGAAAGAUUUAUCGGCGAAAGAUUAGCCCGCGUCCGAUUAGCUAGUUGGUGAGGUAAUGGCUCACCAAGGCUCCGAUCGGUAGCUGGUCUGAGAGGAUGACCAGCCACACUGGGACUGAGACACGGCCCAGACUCCUACGGGAGGCAGCAGUGGGGAAUAUUGGACAAUGGGCGCAAGCCUGAUCCAGCCAUGCCGCGUGAGUGAUGAAGGCCUUAGGGUUGUAAAGCUCUUUUGGCGGGGAAGAUAAUGACGGUACCCGCAGAAUAAGCUCCGGCUAACUUCGUGCCAGCCGCCGCAGUAAGAC